rnacentral:rRNA from 1 species
ACGCACGCUGGCGGCAUGCCUCACCCCUGCCAGUCGCACGCGACCUUCGGGUCUAGUGGCGCACGGGUGCGUAACGCGUGGGAAUCUGCCCUUGGGUUCGGAAUAACAGUUGGAAACGACUGCUAAUACCGGAUGAUGACGUAAGUCCAAAGAUUUAUCGCCCAAGGAUGAGCCCGCGUAGGAUUAGCUAGUUGGUGAGGUAAAGGCUCACCAAGGCGACGAUCCUUAGCUGGUCUGAGAGGAUGAUCAGCCACACUGGGACUGAGACACGGCCCAGACUCCUACGGGAGGCAGCAGUGGGGAAUAUUGGACAAUGGGCGAAAGCCUGAUCCAGCAAUGCCGCGUGAGUGAUGAAGGCCUUAGGGUUGUAAAGCUCUUUUACCCGGGAUGAUAAUGACAGUACCGGGAGAAUAAGCUCCGGCUAACUCCGUG